UGGAUACCAGCUUGAGAGCCUACACUUCAUAGUCUUCUCUAAUCUGCCUUUAAAAGCCCCACUGAGCCUUGUGGCCUAACUAUUUCAUAGCUCUAUUUUACCACUAUUCAUCUAUUUUUACAACUGUUUAUUGACCCGCUAUGUGUCAGACACUCAUAUGGAUGUCGGGAAUUUAUCAGUGAACAAACAUGUAAACAUCCCUGCCCACUGAGGGAAACCCAAAGCCCUUACCAGGACCCAAAGACUUGUGUCUACUGUGUCUCCGUGAGGUCGUCCCCCAUCCCUGCCACUCCAGCCACUAUUCUCUUCUUCUUCUUCUUCUUUUUUUUUAUCCUAGGCAGGGUCUCCCCUGUAGCUCAGCCUGGUCCUCUUGCUUCUGGGGUGCAGGGAUCGCAAAUGACAGCCACCUUGUCUCACUUCUUCCUGAUCUUUGAUGGAGGACAGAGGUGAAUUUCUACCUCAGGACCUCUGCGUUUGCCAAUCUCUUCAUCGAAGAUGCUUCUUAGAUAUUACAUGAAUCAUGUCUGAUUCCUCCAGGUGUGUGUGUGUGUGUGUGUGUGUGUGUGUGUGUGUGUGAGCAUGUGCAUGCAUGUUCAUUCUUGUGAGCGUGGGUGCAUACAUGCAUAAAGGUGGAGGUCAGAGGACAACAUCUGGGAUGGUUUCUCAGGAACCUACACCUUCUGUUUGAGACAGAGUCUGCCACUGGCUUAUAACUUCAACAAGUUGGCCAGGUUAACUGGCCUGUGAACUUCCAGAGAUCCUCCUGUCUCCAACUCCCACCUCUCCAUUAUUGAGUUAACGGACCCAUAUCACCAUACCGGGCAUUUUACAUGGGUUCUAGGAACCCACACUCACAGGCACAAAGCAAGCAUUGUUACAACUGAGCCAUCCCUGCCACUCUCUGUAUUUAUUUUCCUCCUCUGGUCAAUCUACUUAAAAAUGGAAAUUCAUAUGCAUCCCCACAAAUUUCAUGUCCUUCUCUGCCUUAAAUUUUUACCUUAACAGAUUUCACUAACCGGCCAUACACUGUGCUGUCAGUUGGCUUAAGUUGUCAACUUGAUACACCUAGGAAGAGGGAAUCUGUUGAGGAAUUGUCUCCAUCAAAUUGGCUUAUGGCCAUAUCUACAGGAACAUUGCCUUGUUAAUGGAUGUCUGAGGACACCGCCCACUGUGGGCGGUGCCAUUCCUAGGCAGGUGAGCAAACUAGUAAGCAGCAUUCCUUCCACCUCUGCUUCGGUUCCCACCUUCAGGUUCCUGCCUUGAGUCUCUAUCCCAGCUUCCUUCUCUGGUGAGCUGUAACCUGUAAGCCAAACACAUAUAUCCUCCCCUUGUGUGUUGCUGUUGGUUACGGUGAUAGAGAACAAGUGAAGACACCAUAGGCAUUUUCUUUUUAUUACUACGUUCAGUCUCCAAACUCUGGAAGGAUGGAGAUUCUGUUGUGUUUCUGCUUUAUCUGAAGUUCCCAGAGGCAUCACAUGCCAAUGGUGCUCUUUUAAUUAAUGAGAGGGAGGGGUGAAAAACCAUCUCAUGCUCACAUAUUUCCUGGAAGGAUGGGUGUAAUAUUGUCUUGUUUUAGUUUACAUUUCCUUGAGUACAACUGAGAGGAUUUCUUACCUGGGUUUCUGUUAGGUUUCAGAAAUCCAGGACAAAUGGCUGAGGUUUCUAUUAACACAGGACACUGGCCAGCAAUCCCAGCAUCCCUCAGUACCUGUGGCUCCUCCCAGUUCUCCCAGCAUCCCUCUGUACCUGUGGCUCCUCCCAGCACACCUCGCGCCCUACCUCUUACACUAAACCUCCCUUUCAUAGGGACUGAGUUUUUGCUUCUCUUCCCCUAGCCUAAUCCCUAUAGGACUCAAUCAUUUUUGGGUAUGUCCUUUCUCUUGGCCUGGAUCGCUUUUCUUGGUUGGCAGAUCCUCUUCUUGCUCUUCCUCAAUUCCUCUCAUGGGCAUCCCCUUCUUUUAUUUCAUUUCUCAUUCGGUUUCCAGUGUCCUUUGUGUGAGUGUGUUUGUGUGGGAUGCACACUUGUGUGCAUGCGUGUGGAGGUCAGAGGUCAGUCCUGGGUGACUUUUCAGAUACAAUCCACUUUGUUUUAUGAGUUAACAUCUCUCACUGGCUGACAGCUCACUAAGUAGGUUACACUGGUUGCCCAUUGAGUCCCAGAGACCAGCCUGUCUCAGUUUCCCCAACACUGGGAUUGUGAUCAUGUGUCACCAUGCCUGGGCAUGUGUAUGUGUGUGCGUGCCUGUAUAUAUGGAUUCUGUGGCUGGAGCUCAGGCUCUGGAGCUUGUAAGGCAGAUCCUUUCUCUAACUAGAUACCUCCCAGCCUUGUGUUUCUGAAAGUAUUCUUGCAUUUAACCCUUUUUUGGCCAUGCACAUUAUGACUGUCUUCUCUGCUGUGUGGCUUUUUUUUCUUUUCACCUUUAUGACUUACAAUGGUCUUUUACUUCUGGAUGGCUAUGUUGUGUAGGAAGUUUUCAAAAGUUCUGUUUUAUGGAGCUGUGCUAUUCCAGAGGGGAAAUAGCAAGGGAACGUUAAAGCACUUGUAUAUUGCACAUAUAUAUCCUAAUAUAUAUGUACAUUUUAGAAGGACAUAAAAGCCAGGGAGGAGAUUAGAGGGAAGGGACAAGGAGCGUGUGAGACUUAAAGGACAAUGGAAGAAAACACUUGCAGCAUGUGCAAGCACGCAUUCGUGCCGGGGGGUGGAGGGGUAAAUCAAUACACCUGUUACCCUGGCUCUGGGGGCCACAGCUGUAGAAAUGUUCUCGACCUUGGAAAUUCUGAAGGGCGUUUGUUUGGAGAGUGGCACUGGGGAGUGCUACGGACUCCAGGGGCAGGUGUGUAAGGGCAGCAGAAAGGUUGAAGAGAAAACAAGGAAGACCCGCCUUCCUUUCCACAAAGGCUUUUCUCUACCUUCAUCUCCUAGGCGGAUCAGAGCUGUUGGACACCAGGACCCCGGGUUCCUUGGUCAUGUGCCCAGGCAGUAAAAUCUGAUUGGGUCAUCUUUAGAGAUGUUCAUCUCUUGUCCAGUCAGCACCAGGAAUGGGCACAUUAUGCAGACAGAGUCUGCUGCAGUGCACUGUGGGUAAGGUGCUUCUCGUGACUGCCUGAGAUUUGCACUCAUGCAAGUGGACACUUGCAGCUCAUCUGCUGUUCUCCCAGCUGCGGGUGUUGUGAUGCUCUUCACAGUGGUUGAUCUUGGAUUUCCUUCUGCCAUCCUCUCUCUCUGCUGCAGAAAGAAAUUAGAGGAACACCCUGUCGUCACUCUGGCUUACACAUGGAACGAGGGACACAACCUGGGAAUUGUAAACUACCGUGUUGCACAGCUCUGGUUCCCAGGGAGCUUAUGGUUUGAGCGGAGGAGACAGAUGAAGCAAUCACCCCGCGGGUCUCUGGCUAUAAUCGGGGAUGCUGCUGGGAAGGACAGAUUCGCAUCCGUGAAAACACACAGGGACACAUGGACCGAACCAGGGAGUUAAAAGCACAGACACUAGGUUUGGCAUAGAAAAUUAAUCACCAGAUGAGGGAGAGGCCAGGGUGCCAGAAACCAGUGUCCUGUGUCAAGGUUUAGGUGAGACAUUCAAGGCACUGAGAGGAGGCCAGGGUUGCCUGUAGGAAAAACAUGGAAAAGAAAAAGGAAAGAGGAAAAGGAAUAGGAAGGAGGUGGGAAGAAGGGAGAAAUGAGAGGGAAGGAGGGAGAAAGAGUGAUACAGAGGGAGAGGAGGAAGAAAUAAGGGGCAGGAGAGGGAAAGAAGAGGAGCAGAAGAGAGUGGGGAAGAGGAGGGGGAGGAAGGGAAGAGGGUGGGGAGGAGGAGGAGAGGAUGGGGAGAGGGCUGGAGAAAGGGUGUCUGGUACUUGGGGAAUAUGUGGUCAUUGAAGCUAGGGCAGGCCAGGAUGGAGGACUGCCCAGUAGAGCCUGGGUAUAUGGCGUUCCAUUUGCAGUAGAGAGCGGACUUCACACGAUAUGAAGAGUUUGGUAUGAGUCUGCAGGUGAGCACUCUGAGGACAAGUGUUGGAAGUGGCCUGCUAACCUGUGGCAUAAACAGCCUAGGAUAAGGAUAGAGCCAGCCUCAGUUUCCCUCAUUGCAAAAGCAUCAAAGAGAGGAAGGCUACAGCUAUGGCAGGUAUUUAAUCCCUGGUUCACCGGGAGGAAAGUGUAUGCAUUCACACCUAUCAUCAAAUAGACCAGUAUGAAGAAGCAAGGACCAUCUCAUCAUUAAUGGUCGCCGUGGGGAAGACCUUCAUCUUAAAGAGCUAGCGCACCUAGAAAUCCCGAGGAAGGCCUUCUCGCUUGCAGCCUCUCCAGUACUCUGCAUUCAGUCUGAAUCAGACAGGUUCUGCCAGUCCAUGGCUCGGCCUCUCAUUUCCUGCCAGGUGUGCGGACACCCUGAGGGGGAGCGUGGACAAGGGAACCCUGUUCCUGCCUCCCAGUGGUAAAAUGGCAGCGCCUAGGUACACAGGAGACCACGAACCACUGUGGACUCUCCGCUUCAGACUUUGCCCUGCCUUCUUGCAGCAGUGAGCCAGCAUUGCUUCAGGCACCCCAGCAGAGAAGCAGGGCGAGGUACAACGUUUUUUGGUUCUUUUUGUCUCACAGUUUGAGUGGGAAAGGCAUGGUGGCGGGACACUGAGGCACGUUAUGGUUCUUUCCUUCACAUUGUAACCUUCAGAGCUGGAGGGAGGCUCAUUAAGAUACAGAACGAAAAUAAAACCUGUUAAGGCUU